CACCGAAUCGUCCACCCCGAGCCUCCAAUCGGCCGCGCGCGCGAACCUUCUUCGCCUCCCCUGCAUCCCGCCGCCGACACCGCCCUCGCGCCCCUUCUUCCCCGAUCCUCCUCCUACGCGGCCGGUCCGCUCCAGCUCAGGCGGCCAUCCGUGGAGAAGGACGAGGACCUCCGAACGGUAGCUGCAGGCCCAGAAGCUCCCAACGACCUCCUGCAGACGGCGCGCACCCGGAGACCACCUCCACGACCCCCUGCAACCGGCCAUAUACGCGACCUGCUGCUGCUCAAGGCCGGCGACGCCCCCAACCUGCUGCACCCGUCGAGGUUAAUUAUGGAGUAGCAUCGUGACAGCCUGCGCGCUUGUCCGCGGCCUCCCGCGCCGUCAAUACUAGCUAGACAACACUAUUGUCCUGAAGGAAUUGCAUGCCCAGUACACUGGCGUGCUAAUGGAGUUGUACUGCCUUGGUCAAGGGAUUUGUUGCUAUACAGACGUUUGUUUGGCUGUAGAUCAACACAACUCCUUUUCAUCUUCGGUGCCAGAUCGAUGCAACUCUUUAUCAGAUCAGUACGUUAAUCAUGGAAUUUCUCAUGCUCGGGUCAAGCUUGCCUGGUCGAGAAGAAGUGCGGGCCUGUCGCUGCUCGCCGGACACCGCCUCCAUGGCCAUUGAGAAGGAGUUUGAGCUCUUGCACACCUCAGAGUCCUCCUGUAUCUUCUUCUCUGGUUAUUACAACUUCUUCCAGCCGGUCGACGGAGAUGAGAUGGAUUUUGACUAUGAAGAAUAAUCGAAAGAUGAAGAGGAAGAGAAAAUCAUUCCAGUAAGCAGGAAAUGGGUCUGCUGCCUCCUGCCACAGGGCUAAUAUAUGUAGUUUGAUGCUGUGGUGGCUGUGAAGGACUUGGGUGGCAGGUAACACGAUGAUGGACCCAGUUAAGAUUUCUCCGGGAUAGAUCAGCCACAGUCAUGGGAACCGGAGGGCGCUCAACACUGGCACCAGGUCUGGCCACUCAAACUUCAGUGCAACCGAAGGCGACCAGUAGCAAGAUCAGCCACAAUCAUGGGGACCGAAGGGCGCCGCAUGCCGACGACGGGCGCCAACCACCGGGACACGUGGCUGAGGGAGAGUUCUCAACGUUGGCAAAAGAUGACGUGUCUGUGUACACUGCACGCUCAUUCGCUCACAAAUCAAGCCUUGUUAAUGUCACACGCUGGUAUGAUCAUGUCAGUG